rnacentral:rRNA from 1 species
CAGUCGCCGCGGGAAUACGUAGGUGGCAAGCGUUAUCCGGAAUUAUUGGGCGUAAAGCGCGCGUAGGCGGUUUUUUAAGUCUGAUGUGAAAGCCCACGGCUCAACCGUGGAGGGUCAUUGGAAACUGGAAAACUUGAGUGCAGAAGAGGAAAGUGGAAUUCCAUGUGUAGCGGUGAAAUGCGCAGAGAUAUGGAGGAACACCAGUGGCGAAGGCGACUUCCUGGUCUGUAACUGACGCUGAUGUGCGAAAGCGUGGGGAUCAAACAGGAUUAGAUACCCGUGUAGUCCCUGUCUCUUAUAC